rnacentral:rRNA from 1 species
GAUGAACGCUGGCGGUGUGCCUAAUACAUGCAAGUCGAGCGAACAGACGAGGAGCUUACUCCUCUGACGUUAGCGGCGGACGGGUGAGUGACACGUGGAUAACCUACCUAUAAGACUGGGAUAACUUCGGGAAACCGGAGCUAAUACCGGAUAACAUGUUGAACCGCAUGGUUCAACAGUGAAAGACGGUCUUGCUGUCACUUAUAGAUGGAUCCGCGUCGCAUUAGCUAGUUGGUAAGGUAACGGCUUACCAAGGCAACGAUGCGUAGCCGACCUGAGAGGGUGAUCGGCCACACUGGAACUGAGACACGGUCCAGACUCCUACGGGAGGCAGCAGUAGGGAAUCUUCCGCAAUGGGCGAAAGCCUGACGGAGCAACGCCGCGUGAGUGAAGAAGGUCUUCGGAUCGUAAAACUCUGUUAUUAGGGAAGAACAAAUGUGUAAGUAACUAUGCACGUCUUGACGGUACCUAAUCAGAAAGCCACGGCUAACUACGUG